rnacentral:rRNA from 1 species
AGUGAACGCUGGCGGUAGGCCUAACACAUGCAAGUCGAACGGCAGCACAGUAAGAGCUUGCUCUUACGGGUGGCGAGUGGCGGACGGGUGAGGAAUACAUCGGAAUCUACUUUUUCGUGGGGGAUAACGUAGGGAAACUUACGCUAAUACCGCAUACGACCUACGGGUGAAAGCAGGGGAUCUUCGGACCUUGCGCGAUUGAAUGAGCCGAUGUCGGAUUAGCUAGUUGGCGGGGUAAGGGCCCACCAAGGCGACGCUCCGUAGCUGGUCUGAGAGGAUGAUCAGCCACACUGGAACUGAGACACGGUCCAGACUCCUACGGGAGGCAGCAGUGGGGAAUAUUGGACAAUGGGCGCAAGCCUGAUCCAGCCAUACCGCGUGGGUGAAGAAGGCCUUCGGGUUGUAAAGCCCUUUUGUUGGGAAAGAAAAGCAGCAGGUUAAUACCCCGCUGUUCUGACGGUACCCAAAGAAUAAGCACCGGCUAACUUCGUG